GCUCACUUCGGCAACACAUACUAAAAUUGCAACGAUACAGAGAAGAUUCGCGUGGCCCCUGCGCCAGGAUGACACGCAAAUUCGCGAAGCGUUCCCUAUUAAA